rnacentral:lncRNA from 1 species
AGAACUGACCACAUGACCCAGGCCAACUAGUAUCUAGCUCUCUAACUGCCUUGGGCCAUCAAAACUCCCAAAUCAAAUAUUGUUGACCUGGCUUGUGUCAAGUGCCCAUCACUGAAUUAGUCACUAUGGCCAGGAGCAGAUGGGCCCUCACUAGACAGAACUGGUCUGUGGCCGCCCAUGGUGCCCGGGGUGAGGGCAGCUCCACCUGAACACAGAGAGUGGCAAAGGCAAAGUUUCCUGACAUAGACGUUCCUGUUCCAUUUGUCCCGCAAACGUUUAAACAUCACACAUACUUGGUUAAGGCACACUACUUCUACGUGGUGGGGAAAAUGGCACUUGGAAAAUUCAGUUUCAAUGGUCCUUUCAGAGCUACAGCAUCUGUCUCUCAAUGUCUAUGUUAAUUCCUCUAAAAGGACUCAGACCUGAUGUGGCUCCCAGCCUUCUUGGACCCCUCCUAUCUGUGGACAUUUGGAUUGUUUCCAAUUAUUGGCUGUUAUGAAUAAAGCUGCUAUGAACGUUCAUGUACAGGCUUUCGUGUGAAUAACUCAGCAUAUCGGAGGCCCCCAAUUAAGCCUUGUCCUUCCAACUGACACUUCAUACCUCUCCCACCAUCAUCUCCCAGUGCACCAGGGUCACUUGCUGGGGCCAGGAUAGGAAAUCCCAGAUACAAACUCUCCCUUCAAGGAUUUUUUUUUUACCCCACCAGAGCUCUCCACUGCUCCAGGAGAAGAAACAAAGGAUUGGGUCUGAGAGCUGGGUGAGAUUACAUUUAUCUAAGAAGCUUCCAAAUGAAAACUAGCAUUUGUACUUAUUGCAUUUCACCUCCAAAUUUGAUUACAUUUCUCUCCCGCUGUAAAUCUGCCUUUCCUUCUGCCAAGUUAUUAUUAAAUCCAGGACAGAAUUGGUGGAGUGAUACGUAAAAUUUCCAUCUUGGCUUUGACAUUCCAGGAAGUUACAAACCAAUUACAGCUGCUGAGCCUCAGGCCUUUAUGAAUCACAGAGCACAGCAAGGGAUGGAGGAGGCCAGAGUGGGGACGGGAGGGAGACAGUGAGGUGGGAAUCAAAGGUCAAUUAAAAUAAAACAGUCAAUUUUAA